GGGGCCUACGGGAGGCAGCAGUGGGGAAUAUUGCGCAAUGGGCGGCAACCCUGACCGCAGCGACGCCGUGUGAGGGAAGAAGGCUCCUCGGGUCGUAAACCUCUGUCGGGAAGGAAGACCUCUCACAGUCUCGAACUAAGGCCUGGGCUAGCGGUA
rnacentral:rRNA from 1 species